UUUUUUUUUUUUGCUGAAAACAGAAAUUUUGUUCACGAGUUAGUUCAAAUACAUUUAUGUAGCUCCCUUAUAUACUAUCAAAGGAGCUCCAACCAUCUGGUAUGUCUGGAAGACACUUCAGUGAGUAGAAAUUAGAAGCCAGCAUUUGAAAUUUUCUACCACAGGGACAUGAAAGCCUAAACCGGCCUUAAAGGGAUAAGAGGAUUUUACAUUUUUAAAAAAUAAAUCAAUUAACAUUCAUUGUCAAACAGCCUACAAGAAAGUUCCACUAGCAUUCUGCAAUUGUAUAGAAUAAGAGAAUAUUUGUUGCUAAUGAUUACAUUCCAGAAAGCAAUAUGUUUAGCAGCUGUUUUUCAAAAGACUUGUCAGGUUUUACUAUUGUUAUUUAAUCCAGGCAUAACUGUGUAACCUUAAACAAAAACUGUGCAUUAUUCAACCAGCUAGUGACAAAUUAUCUUAACAAACUAGAUUAUCUUUUGCUUUUCUGUACAUGAAUUUUUGCUUUUUUAGGCAUUUUGUAUUCCAAUUUUUGUUUUAGAAUUUAGUGCACAUGUAGAAAGGGGAAGAAACCCUUUUGGAUGUUGGUAAUUAUGUACAUCAAAUAAUGUCAUAUAUGAAAUUAAAAGCAGAUCACAAAACUGAGAUUCAUGACUCCAUUUUUACCAAGGGAAGGAAACAAGAACCAUACAGCCAGAAUAAUUCUUCAGAAGCACACUUUGUUAUCAAUUAUAUAACUAAAGAAUCAAAGUAUAUAUAUAUAACUGAAGAGUUAAUCAACAGUAAGACUGUGAUCUACAUCUGAUACCAGUAAGAAGCUAAGAGUAAUAAAUAUCUAUCCUGACAUUCACUAAGUAAAUAAUGAUUAUCAUUUUAAUGAUUAUCAUUUCAAUGAUAAUCAUUAUUUUUUUUCUGUUAUUGUUUUAAAUAGGCAAAAGAGCAAUAAUAAAUGGCAUACAUGGCUCCUUAAAAAGAAGAGGGAUCAACCCAAUUUUCUUCCCAUGAAGAAUAGGAUCAAGAAGAAAGAGGUUUAAAUUGCUCUGUGAGGUAUUUCAGUUCUAAGAUUAAGCUUCCUGAUAAUGAGUUUACAACCCUGGAAUUGCCUAUUGGGAGAGAGAGAGACCACCUUGCCUGAAGUUUGUAAAUAAAUGGAGGGUGACAGCAAUGCCCAAAGGCAAAAGGAUGGAUCAGAUAAAUGACUUCCUUUUAAGGCAUCCUUUCAGAAAUGGAGUUCUUUUCUUUGAAGCCAGGAAAGUUUCUUUGUUUUGUCUCUUAAGGAUCUACACUUGGCAUCAGACCAUUCAGUCUGCUCUUAAUUAAGGAGAAAAGGAACUAAUAUUUGUGUGCUGUUUACCAAGCACUGUACUUUCAACUUAUCUAAUUUUCACAAUAAUCCUGACAGGUCUGUCUCAUAGAUGAGAAGAUUGAUGCUCAAGACAUUGUGCUUUGCCUAAAGUCUCAGCUAAUUUGUGGCAUACUAGGACUCCUCACACCUAAACUAGUGUUUCCCCUUCUAUAUAACUCCCCACAUCACUCUCUGAAGUAUCAAAGUCACCAACCACCAAAGAUUCCAUCAGGAACUAGAACACAGCAUCUCCAAAAAUUCUGCUUUAAAUCAAUGGAAAAGUAAAAUUUUGGCUCAUACCUCAAGAAGUCAAAGAAGUGGUGACUAGCCUUUGUGCUCUGACCUCUUGUCCAAAGGAGUCCAAGAAAGUCUCAAUCAAACUCAAAUAGAUUUGUCACCAUACUGAUUUAAGACCAAUGACUUAAAAAACAAACAAACAAACAAACAAACAAACAAAAAAAGACCAGUGAAGAGCUAUCUAUCAGCCUUGCAAUGGUGAAAGUUAUUUUGCAGGUGGAAUAAUUUGGGUCAUAGGCUUCAUUAGCCAAAAAUUGCUUACAGUUACCUCUAAUUUUCAAGUCAAAAAUACUUGUUUUUAUUGCUUUCCACAUAAAGCAAUUUGAUCUCAGUUCUUUUAAACUUAAGUAUUCUCAAGAGAAUCAAACCAACAAAGGAAAUGUCAUUGAGACUUCUCUAAAAUGGAUCUUGGGGACUGCUUUAUGUCAGUGACCCACCAGCCCAUCUCUCUUGGGAGCUGCAAAACUUCUUGUUGGUCUGUUUGUGAGAACUUUAACAAAAGAUUCUGCUCUGUUAAAAAGGCAUAUCCUAAAAUCUUGAAGGAGACACCCAUUAUUUAUUAAACAGAGCAAGGCCUAUGUUUGGCAAGUGAUAAAUGAAUAAUUUCAUGUAACUUCUACUAAAACAAUACCUUUUGAUUUUUAACUCAAGAACCAAUUUGUGAUUUCAACAGGACAUCAACGAAUGGACUGAUAAAGCAAGUCCAGCAUAGGGCAUAAUGGAGGGUCAGUCUCUUG
ensembl:lncRNA